GUGCUCGCUUUGGCAGCACAUAUACUAAAAUUGGAAUGAUACAGAGAAGAUUAGCAUGGCCCCUGUGCAAGGAUGAUACGCAAAUUUGUGAAGCGUUCCAUAUUUUC
rnacentral:snRNA from 1 species